UUAUUACAAAGAGCUGACACCAUGAACACUUUCCUUAUCAGAUCUGCAUGUCUGCUGUGGCUAACAGUGGCAAAUCAUGCAAAAACUGUUCUCCAGAGUCCUGAUGACUUCAUAAAGAACCAAAAUGAAUCGGCUGUUAUCGGCUGUUCUCACAGUAUACAGAGCUACAACCAAAUGCUGUGGUACAAACAGAGUCAGGACAUGCCUGGAUUCAAGUUUAUGGGAUACCUUUAUGUUGAUGAGAAUAUAGAGCCUGAAUUUACAGACAAGAUCAAAUUGAAGGGAGAUGCAUCAAAAAAUGGCACUCUGACUAUCAAGAACCUCACACCACAAGACAGCGCAGUGUAUUUCUGUGCAGCAUAUUACACACUGAUAUAGAUAAUGAAACCUUAAUACAAAAAGCUCUCUAGUCUGUGCCUCUGCAUCAGCUCUGCCUCACCUGCAAAGGGCUCAG